rnacentral:rRNA from 1 species
GAUUAACGCUAGCGGCAGGCAUAAUACGUGCAAGUUGAACGGGAUAAGUUUAGCAUUAAACUUUGAGAGUGGCGCACGGGUGCGUAACACGUAUGCAACCUACCCGAUACAGGGGGAUAGCCUCUCGAAAGAGAGAUUAAUACCCCAUAACAUAGAGUAUAGGCAUCUAUAUUUUAUCAAAGCUCCGACGGUAUCGGAUGGGCAUGCGGUUGAUUAGCUAGUUGGUGAGGUAACGGCUCACCAAGGCGACGAUCAAUAGGGGGUCUGAGAGGAUGUCCCCCCACACUGGUACUGAGACACGGACCAGACUCCUACGGGAGGCAGCAGUAGGGAAUAUUGGUCAAUGGGGGCAACCCUGAACCAGCCAUGCCGCGUGCAGGAAGACUGCCCUAUGGGUUGUAAACUGCUUUUGUACGGGAAGAAACGGCUCUGGUUAAUACCUGGGGCUAAUGACGGUACCGUAAGAAUAAGCACCGGCUAACUACGUGCCAGCCGCCGCGGUAAGAC